UCUGAUUGCUUCUUUCUUUUUUUUAAAGGUUGAAAAAAAUCUUACUAUUUAUUUUAAAUUUGAGAGCCCCAAAUGAUCUCUUUGGAAUAAAAGGAGCUACCGUGCAUGGGUACUGGGCUGGCAGAGAAACCCGGGAAGUGUGACCUAGAGCCAAAGAAAAAGCUGCACUUUGGGGCAAUUUCAUAGUAGGGUACCUUCCUGACACCGGCACACACUGGAGAGACUUCAUUCGGGAAAGUUUAAUGGUAUGUUGACUGUCUCUACACUGACGCACUGCAAAAAGAAUCUACUGCAGCAAAACAGAGCACGUGGAUAUUACUUUUUAAAGGGCUUGCCCAGGCUAAACUUUCAAGGAAAACAAGCUGAUCAGUUGAGAGAGUGAAGGAUAAAAGCCCAGAAGACGUUGAAUCAGUUAACACGAUGAACUGCCAGUUACAUCCCUGCUUAGUUUCUAAAGGAGCUGCUGCAGGAUCAGGAAGCUCUUUAAAAGCGUUCCCUGAGCCACUCAUAAGAUUUACACCCUGCGUGUGAAGUCUACAGCUUUCUUUUGCAAUCGAAUUUUUCUAAGAAUCUUCCAGAAUAAAUAGCUUUGAAAUUUCAUUGAAUAGGACCUCAUCCAAUUGCAUUCAAAUGUCUAGAGGGUCUCUCACUGACAUAGCAGAAGAGCUCACUGAGGGAGCCAGGUACUUCGAGAGUUGUGACAGGUCUUAAGUGGCACAAAAGCUCUGCUUCUGCAGCCCCAGACACAAAUACAUGGAAUGAAAAGACAGAAGCAGCACCCGCCCCCCGCAAAAAUGUUGGGGGGAUACAAGCUGCAAGAGAAAGUUGAGUUUACCAGAGAAAUUUGUAGUUUUCAAAAGUGAGGACUGGACUUCCCUGAUGGUGCAGUGGUUAAGAAUCCGCCUUCCAAUGCAGGGGACAGGGGUUCGAUACCUGGUCCAGGAAGAUCCCACAUGCCACGGAGCAACUAAGCCCAUGUGCUUAGCCCACAACUACUGAGCCCGCACGCCACAACUACUGAAGCCUGUGCGCCUAGAGCCCAUGCUCCGCAACAAGAGACGCCACCGCAAUGAGAAGGCCACGCAAGGCAAGGAAGAGUAGCCCCCGCUCGCCGCAACUAGAGAAAGCCCGCGCACAGCAACUAAGACCCAACACAGCCAUCCGUAAAUAAAUAACUUUUUUAAAAAGUGAGGAUUAUCCAUACAAUGAAAUAUUGUUCAGCCAUAAAAAGGAAUGAAAUGUCUGUACCUGCUACAAUAUGCACGAACCUUGAGAACAUAAGCUGAGGGAAAGAAGCUGACACAAAAAGCUGCAUAGAGCACAAUUUCACGUCAAUGAAAUCUCUAGAACAGGUACAUGGAUAGAAACAGAAAGGAGAAUGGUGA